GUGGGAUCUGUGACCAGGCAGAUCACUUGUUUAUUCUUAGCAUUUGGAUUUCACUGACAUUCCUGUCAUGUAGAAAAAUAGAAAUAUCUUUGCAUUGAUUCAGCUAAACUAACUGCAGACACUGAGAGGCGUAAAGUUCAACAAAUGCUGUUUUUAUUUACUUCACUGGUGACAUCAGUAGAUGCUUGCAGUGAAACCACCACUGCAAAUAUUUAUGCAUUUAAGUAUCACAACUGAAAACUCCCUACAAACGUCCACUUCUAACACCACAAACAUUGUCCAGAGGAAAUGAUAUUAGCUGAACAUAAAAACAUGUAAAACAGGUCUGAUGCUUUCAUCCUGAGCUCCACUCAAACAUUUCACUGUGCAGCAGCUCAGCAGUUUGUUUAAGAAAAGCAUUUAGGUUCAAUCUGUGAAGCCCAAAACCACCAGCUGUUGUCUUUAAAAAAUGACACCGUUUACCAGAGUCACAAACUGUAAAAACAGAAGGAAUUGUUGGAUUUUCUAUGUGAAUGUGUCGCCUCUCUAGUUAACUCACCCGGUUACGUCUCCAUCCUGACGCUGCUCUGCUGGACCGGAGCUUCUGGACCAGCCGGGUGGACCUUCCUUCACAGAUCUUCCCGGUGGGAGUGAUUCUGAGUCGGCCUUGGUUGACUGCAAACUCCUUAAAAUGGACACAUGAGAGGAAAUCGUGGACAAAUCUACACAACGACUUGUUUGCUGAUACCCUGACUUCAUGGAGGAGUUACUUCAUGGGUGAUCUGAACUACUGGGAGCAGGCUUGAUUGAACAGUCUGACUGCUGCAGGAAGGAAGGACCUCCUUCAAACAUCGUGGGUGAAGCAGUCUGUCCCUGAAGGAGCUGCCGGUGAUGGUCCUGUUUCCUGCAGGGGGUGGGAGAUGUCCUCCAUGAUAGACAACAGCUUUGUCAUCAUCCUCCUGUCUACCACCAGCCCAGGACAGAGCUUGCUUUCUUAACCAGUUUCUUUAGUCUCUUCCUGUCUGCAGCCGUGAUGCUGCUGCUCCAGCAGACCAGUCCAUACAGGAUGGCUGAUACCACCACACAACCAUAAAAGGUCCUCAGAAUUGCUCCCUACACCCCGAAGGACCUCAGUUUCCUGAGCAGGUGAAGUCUGUUCUGACCUUUCUUACACCGUGCGUUGGUGUUCUAUCUCUAGACAUGUUUGAAUGUCUUUAUCAAUAAAUGCUCAAACACAUGUUGAGUGUCAGCUCAGCUCUUUGUUCCAUACAUGUAAAUG
ensembl:lncRNA